AAACUUCACGUUUUGCAAGUGAAUUCAAUUCUGAUUGGAUUGCUUCUUGCCAUUUUGGCCAAUCAAGUCUUUGUCGACAAGUAAAUUCAAUUCUGAUUGGAUUGCUUCUUGCCAUUUUGGCCAAUCAAGUCUUUGUCGACAUUUUCCAACAGAUUGAGGUUCAAGAUCCUUACUUUCUUGUAUAAUGCUAGAUGCAACAUUAUAUGCAAAGACAUAAUCCACCACUAUAUCCACUCG
rnacentral:lncRNA from 1 species